GCCGGGUGUGGUGGUGCAUGCCUUUAAUCCCAGCACUCAAGAGGCAGAGGUAGGCAGAGCUCUGUGAGUUCAAGGCCAGCCUGGUCUACAUAGUGAGUUCCAGGACAGCUGGGGCUACAGGGAGAUCCUGUCUCAAAAAGACCAAAAAAUAAAAAAAGAUAGGUCUCAUUAUGUAGCCCUGGCUGGCCUGGAUCUCAGUAUGUAGACCAGAUUAGCCUUGAACUUGUAGAGAUUGCCUGCCUCU
rnacentral:sRNA from 1 species